rnacentral:lncRNA from 1 species
UCUUGUCAUUUUAAUUAAAAUAAUUCUGUUUAAUAUUUCACUUAGAAAAAUUUGUUUUAUGUAAAUUAAAGUAACUUUGUAAAACUACAAUUGGAAGCCGGAAAGUUUUUACUCUCAUCAUGAUGCGAAUGUCGUAAAAAUCUGAUAUUUUGAUUUCCAACUCUUCAUUCUCUAUGUAUUCAUAUAGAGAAGGAAUAGUUGGAAACAAAAAUUUGUGUAUUUCUCAGAAAAUUCUAUUUGUCUGGGAAGUGUACGGCCACCAUAGAUUUGAACAAUAACAGAUGCGACACUACCAUAGAGCAAUGGUAUCCAGAAACAUAAUUUCUUUAAGUGGCAUGGAGAUUAACGAAAUUAGUGCAAGCGUCGUCCCUUCUUAUUCAUGUGAUUCUAACGGAUGCCAUCUUCGCACAUGUUCAACCUUAAAUAAACGUAACAGUGCAGAAUACAAUAACGACUACUUAUUGUUUUACUUUAAAUAUUUUGCAUUAAAAAUUAUAUUUUUAUAAUUAUCCAUCAAAAUUUUAGUUUUCUUUAGUUUAAAAAUUAGUGAUUUAUCUGAGUUAAUAACGCCUAUAGCAUAUACAAAAUGAUCAAUACAAAUAGUAUACAUUAAAAUCUGUUUUCCGU